rnacentral:rRNA from 1 species
AUCGAACGCUGGCGGCAGGCCUAACACAUGCAAGUCGAGCGAGCGGCGGACGGGUGAGUAAUGUAUGGGGAUCUGCCCGAUAGCGGGGGAUAACUACUGGUAACGGUGGCUAAUACCGCAUACUAUCGGAUGAACCCAUAGGGGAUUAGCUAGUAGGUGGGGUAAAGGCUCACCAAGCCGACGAUCUCUAGCUGGUCUGAGAGGAUGACCGGCUACACUGGAACUGGGAAACGGAGCAGACGCCUAGGGGAGGCAGCAGGGGGGAAUAUUGCACAAUGGGAGAAAGCGUGAUACAGCGAUGCCGCGUGGAUGAAGAGGGCAUGCGGGUUGUAAAGUACUUUAAGCGUGGAGGCGUUACUCGCAGAAGAAGCACCGGCUAACUCCGUGCCAGCCGCCGCGGUAAUAC